rnacentral:rRNA from 1 species
GACGAACGCUGGCGGCGUGCUUAACACAUGCAAGUCGAACGGUGAAGCUCCAGCUUGCUGGAGUGGAUCAGUGGCGAACGGGUGAGUAACACGUGAGCAACCUGCCUCUGACUCUGGAAUAAGCGCUGGAAACGGCGUCUAAUACUGGAUACGAGAAGGGUCCGCAUGGGCACUUUCUGGACAGUUUUUCGGUUGGGGAUGGGCUCGCGGCCUAUCAGCUUGUUGGUGAGGUAAUGGCUCACCAAGGCGACGACGGGUAGCCGGCCUGAGAGGGCGACCGGCCACACUGGGACUGAGACACGGCCCAGACUCCUACGGGAGGCAGCAGUGGGGAAUAUUGCACAAUGGGCGAAAGCCUGAUGCAGCGACGCCGCGUGAGGGAUGACGGCCUUCGGGUUGUAAACCUCUUUCAGCAGGGAAGAAGCGAAAGUGACGGUACCUGCAGAAGAAGCACCGGCUAACUACGUG